rnacentral:misc_RNA from 1 species
UUUAUUUAUUUUUUAAUUUCUAAAAAAUGUAAAUAUUCUUAUUUAUUUUCUAGUCAUAUGAGAAACUUAAUAAUUUUUUUAAAAAAAAUAGAUUUCAGAAAACACAAAACAAAAAAUUAUAAAUAGUUUUCAAUUUUUAAAAAUUAAAAAACAAAAAACAUGCGCUCAAUAUGCCAAAAGUGGUUGACAGUGGUUGAAACAAAAAACAAAACUCAAAAUGGUAUUCCUGGACUCCUCACCCAUUGGGUUUCAGAUCAUAAAAAGAAAGCUUAGCUCCAUUCUUUCAUUAAGCCUAUCAAAUCUAGCCCAAACUAUAGAUAAAAGUGCAGAAAUCAAUUCUUCUUGCACAUAGGUUGGUAUUUCAGGCUUAUUCUCUCUAGGAAAUUUAGAAAUGAAUGAUCUUUACUUUUUCAGAAACCUUAUCAAUAGCACUAUAACUUUCAUAAAAACACCUAAGGUUGAUUAUUUCAUUAAGCUAGAUGAAAUUUGGUCUGAAGACAAAACUCAAAAUGAGCAGAGUUGAUAGAACUAGAUUCUGUUUUUAAGUGAUAACUCACAAUCUGCUCAUUAGAUUUAAGCCUAUGAUAACAAUCUAGAAAGAGGACAGAAUUUUCUACAACUCUCAUGAAGAUCAUUAGACCUAAUUCAGUAGAUUUACUAUGAUAAAAUGGGUGGAAAGGCAGACUAUGUAACAAACUCAGGUGAAGCAAGAUAGACUAAACUAAAAUGUCAAUAACUUAUCCGUCCAAAAUCGGAAUUUGAUUCCUCAAAAUGCUACAAACUCAUAAGACACAGACUUAACUAACUAGAAAAAACCAAAUUCAAAUUCACCAAUUUGUUGAUUUGAAACUCUAAUAGAGAGUAGGUACCACUAGGUGACUUUUUCUCUAUGUGAAAGGUUUGGCAUGUUUUUAAAGUAUACCUUCUCCAAUUGGUUUCCAUACUCAAAUUUAAAAUUGAGAAUAGAUUCUUAUGAGUAUAAUUCAAUGGGAAAUUGACCUAAAUCAUCUAAUCAAAUUUCCUUAACCCAAAGGCACCCCAGUCACACCACCAACACACAUACUCAUGAACAUGUUACAUGUAAUCAUUCCCCAUCUACUAAUAAUGAAAUAUUCAAAUUAGGAAUGCCACAAAAACACAUGCUAUAAUUUUCAGUAGUUAUAGAUAAAUAGAUGCCUCAAAUCAGGAACUUUCGUGUAUUAUAAUAAAGCUUUUCAUUAUUUCUUUGUCUACAAAUGCUUCAUUAAGAUAGACAAGCUUAUCCUAGGCUCCUAGCUAGUGUGUGCAAUGGAACCCAUAGACUUUAAUGUUUUGAUUCCAGUAGAAAAUGUUAGCAAAGUUAAAAGGGUAUCAAGUCAAAUUUCCACAUUAAAAUUUCAAAACAAUAACACAAAAAUGCAUAAUAUAUAUACAAAGUGAAAUUUCUUUGACUAGCAUUACAUUGCACAAGAUGCAUAAUCUAUUAGAAUUACCUUCAAGAGGAAAGGAGAGUGAGGCAGCUGAUUCUGUGAAAAUAUCAACAAAUUUUUAUAAACCUAAAUCAUAGAAAAAGAAGAAAAAAAAUAAAAAUAAUUGCAAAAGAAGACUGGCUAAAAAAAUAGCAUUUUUUUGUGGUAAAUAAUACAAAAAUAAAAUUAAAAAGGAAAGAAGAAAAAAAUUACUGAAGAAGAGGAGAUCCAGUCUGCGAAUAGAAAGGAAACAAAAAUAAAAAAGGGGAGAGGCGAGAGAUUAGGAUAAAAAUUUGAGAGUUUGCAGUGAAAAAGAGGAGAGGUGAGAGAUUGGGAUAGAAAUU